AUUUGUCUGGUUAAUUCCGACAACGAACGAGACCUUAACCUGCUAACUAGAUUCUUUUAUUUUAUAACUGAUAUCUUCUUAGAGGGACUAUGUAAUCUAAAUACAUGGAAGUUUGAGGCAAUAACAGGUCAGUGAUGCCCUUAUAUGUCCUGGGCUGCACGCGUGCUACACUGAUGCAUACAACAAGUGCCUAACCAGACAUGGCAUGGCAAUCUCGAAUAUGCAUCGUGAUAGGGAUAGAUCUUUGCAAUUAUAGAUCUUGAACGAGGAAUUCCUAGUAAGUGCAAGUCAUCAUCUUGCAUUGAUUAUGUCCCUGCCCUUUGUACACACCGCCCGUCGCUCCUACCGAUACCGGGUGAUCCGGUGAACCUUUUGGACCUGUAUGGGGAAGAUAAGUAAACCAUAUCACCUAGAGGAAGGAGAAGUCGUAACAAGGUUUCCGUAGGUGAACCUGCRGAAGGAUCA
rnacentral:rRNA from 1 species